CAGCCGCCGCGGGAAUACGUAGGGUGCAAGCGUUAAUCGGAAUUACUGGGCGUAAAGCGUGCGCAGGCGGUUUUGUAAGACAGAUGUAAAAUCCCCGGGCUCAACCUGGGAACUGCAUUUGUGACUGUAUAGCUAGAGUACGGCAGAGGGGGAUGGAAUUCCGCGUGUAGCAGUGAAAUGCGUAGAUAUGCGGAGGAACACCGAUGGCGAAGGCAAUCCCCUGGGCCUGUACUGACGCUCAUGCACGAAAGCGUGGGGAGCAAACAGGAUUAGAUACCCCCGUAGUCCCUGUCUCUUAUAC
rnacentral:rRNA from 1 species